CUUCCAGCCAGGCACAGUGGCACAUGCCUAUAAUCCCAGCAACUCAGGAGGUUGGAGCAAGAGGAUCACGAGUUCAAGGCCGGCCUCCACAUCUUGGUGAGAUCCUCAGCAACUUAGAGACAGCCUGUCUGAAAAUAAGAAACGUCUUUAAGGGGGUUGCUGGGGAUGUAGCUCAGUGGUCAAGCACCCCUGAGUUCAAUCUCCAGCAUCAAAAGAAAGAAAGAAAGAAAGUCAUUCAAAAGCAAGGACUGCAGACCAUUGGAAGGACAGCGCUUACUGACCCCCUCAUCGAGCCCGUCCUGUCUUCCCCACAUCAAGGUCCUCCCUGAGCCCUUGCAACAACUGCUGAUUUGCCCGCCAUCUCUGGCUCUGGCUCCUUCAGUUCCCGCUCUGCCCAUCCCUGCAGGGCUCAUCCUGAGACACAGAUCUGGUCAUGCUGUUUUCCUGCAGAAGUCCCCUCCACAGCUCCCUACUGUUCUUGGCCUGAACUCCAGGCUCUUCCAUGUGUCUGGCAGGGGUCUUCAGGCCCUGGACCCCUGCCCCCCCUACAGACGCAGCUCCAGCCCUCCCACUGGAGCCACAUGGUCCAGC
rnacentral:lncRNA from 1 species